rnacentral:rRNA from 1 species
UAAUACGUAGGGUGCGAGCGUUAAUCGGAAUUACUGGGCGUAAAGAGUGCGUAGGCGGUUUGUGAAGUCAGAUGUGAAAGCCCCGGGCUUAACCUGGGAUGUGCGUUUGAAACUGACAGACUAGAGUUUGAUAGAGGGGGGUAGAAUUCCUGGUGUAGCAGUGAAAUGCGUAGAUAUCAGGAGGAAUACCGAUGGCGAAGGCAGCCCCCUGGAUUAAAACUGACGCUCAGGCACGAAAGCAUGGGGAGCAAACAGGAUUAGAUACCCUGGUAGUCCAUGCCCUAAACGAUGUCAACUAGUUGUCGGAAGAGCAAUCUUUUGGUAACGCAGCUAACGCGUGAAGUUGACCGCCUGGGGAGUACGGUCGCAAGAUUA